GACGAACGCUGGCGGCGUGCCUAAUACAUGCAAGUUGAGCGCUGAAGGUUGGUACUUGUACCGACUGGAUGAGCAGCGAACGGGUGAGUAACGCGUGGGGAAUCUGCCUUUGAGCGGGGGACAACAUUUGGAAACGAAUGCUAAUACCGCAUAAAAACUUUAAACACAAGUUUUAAGUUUGAAAGAUGCAAUUGCAUCACUCAAAGAUGAUCCCGCGUUGUAUUAGCUAGUUGGUGAGGUAAAGGCUCACCAAGGCGAUGAUACAUAGCCGACCUGAGAGGGGGAUCGGCCAAAUUGGGACGGAGACACGGCCCAAACUCCUACGGGAGGCAGCAGUAGGGAAUCUUCGGCAAUGGACGAAAGUCUGACCGAGCAACGCCGCGGGAGGGAAGAAGGGUUUCGGAUCGUAAAACUCUGUUGGUAGAGAAGAACGUUGGUGAGAGUGGAAAGCUCAUCAAGUGACGGUAACUACACAGAAAGGGACGGCUAACUACGUG
rnacentral:rRNA from 1 species